AUCGAGCAUUAUGGAAUAUGGAUCCAAACAUUCCAAGAUAGAACAUUCCCUAUAAAAUCCUAUUUCAGUAUAAACAAAGAGUAAGCUGGUUUAUUUUAAGAAGUUCUGUGAGAUGUUGGGAGUUUCUUUGGAGAGCUAUAGUACCAGUUUGUCUAUUUUGGUGUAGCAUUUGCAAUUCCCUUGUCCUGUCAGCAAACUUUCCAAUUUAGUGAAUAAACAUUUGUACGAUUAAUU